GAUGAACGUUGGCGGCGUGCCUAAUACAUGCAAGUCGAGCGAACAGACGAGGAGCUUGCUCCUCUGACGUUAGCGGCGGACGGGUGAGUAACACGUGGAUAACCUACCUAUAAGACUGGGAUAACUUCGGGAAACCGGAGCUAAUACCGGAUAAUAUAUUGAACCGCAUGGUUCAAUAGUGAAAGACGGUUUUGCUGUCACUUAUAGAUGGAUCCGCGCCGCAUUAGCUAGUUGGUAAGGUAACGGCUUACCAAGGCGACGAUGCGUAGCCGACCUGAGAGGGUGAUCGGCCACACUGGAACUGAGACACGGUCCAGACUCCUACGGGAGGCAGCAGUAGGGAAUCUUCCGCAAAGGGCGAAAGCCUGACGGAGCAACGCCGCGUGAGUGAUGAAGGUCUUCGGAUCGUAAAACUCUGUUAUUAGGGAAGAACAAAUGUGUAAGUAACUAUGCACGUCUUGACGGUACCUAAUCAGAAAGCCACGGCUAACUACGUG
rnacentral:rRNA from 1 species